AGGAGGAGGAGGAGGAAGAGGAAGAAGUGAUUGAAGGUUGAUAUAGAAAAAUAGGGAAAGAAAAAUAUGGUGACCAGAGGGACAGAUAUAACAGAGAGAGAGAGAGAGAGAGAGAGAGAGAGAGAGAGAGAGAGAGAGAGAGAGAGAGAGAGAGAGAAUCCAACUUCUCAUACACACACAUAGGUAAAGAUAACACUUGCAGAUCAGCUUAACACCAAAGCAUAAGAUUAGUUCUAAAUAAUUGGAUGACGGAUUUACGAAAAUAUGAAUAACUAGAAUAAAUAACUAGAGGGAAUUUAUAAAGGACGUGAAUAAAUUAAACGUUCUUGUGAAUGUUGAAUCACGCGCUGUAUUUGGGCUUCCCGUCAUCCGCUAAAGGACGUCUUGCCACCUCCAGGCAACUACCCUGACGGGACCAAAGGAAUGCACCUAUUUACCAAUCACCAUGCUCGCGACACACACACACACACACACACACACACACACGCACAGAAUGAAGACACUCAAUGUCUACAUUAUACUUAUGUGUGUAUUAGGGGAGGGGGGGGGGGGGUUCGCGCGCGCGCAUAAAAAAAAAAAAUAAUCCCAAGCGGAUAUCCUCUGACAUUUAUUGAAGCUCGACACUGGGCAGCCCGGCACAUACUGUACGUACACACACACACACACCACACACACACACACACACAAAUACACACACACACACACACACACACAAGUAGUAAUUCAGUGGAAGCGAUGGCGUGCGGGUGGAUAACAAUUGUGUUCCUUUCGUUGUAUCAAACAGGCUUCCUCCUCGCCAACUUGACUCCGAACUGCACUCCACAGGAAUUGAACGUGAAACCGGAAGAAAAUAGAGUAGUUCACCAAGAGAUUGUGUCUGGUGAUCACAACACCUCGACAACAUUGUUCAUGCAGUCCAGGCACGACUUCAAGGGAAUAAGUGUGUUAGUGAACAAUAAAGAUAUAACACCCUACUUGGUUAUCACCGCAGUACUGCUUUCUGGAUGACACUGAAUGGGUGAAGAUAGGAGUAGGAGUGACAGAUAAGCAAAUUUCAGCCCCUUACGGCCACGUCACAGUGACAACUGACACUUGUAAAUGGGAGUGUGACAUAGCAACGAUAAGAGUACCGACGCGUCCUGUCAACUUAAUCGUUCUGGCUCAUGGCUCGUCCACCUGGCAACGAUUCCCCUCACCAGAGUGCUACAACACAACAGACUCCGACUGGGAGUUCAAGACUGACUUCACUUGCACUCACAAUACCGAGCGCACACCAACAAUAAAUACGAGUAUGGUGUUAUUAGGACUACUGGUCAUAAUAGUAGUGGUGAUGGUGACGGUGGCGAUCUUCAGAAUGGUGGUCCUCAGAGCGGCAAUGGCACGUGAUGCUUCAGCCCCCCGGGGACCAGCACACUUACGCUCCCGGACAUAACCAUACCCUACAAACAACGCCCAGCCUUUAUUCAAAAGACGUGUGGCAGCCCGUGAAUGCUGGACAACCAGCGACAUGGGGCACCAGUUAUGGCAACGAGCCUUCCUGUCCACCACUCGUAAGCCUUGGUGAAAGAAGAACCACUCCAAGAAACACCAAGGGCAUCACGUCACUCGACUUGGAUAUGCGUCACCUCGGCGGAAAGUAACAUGGCAACACCAGCGAAGGGGUGUUCCUUGAGCCACUCCCCAUCAGAAAGCAACAGUAGGCAGGAAGAGGAAUACAAAGGAAUACUACUACUACCAAACAGCAACCAAACCUUCAUGUCCUUACUAAGUUCUUUGGGUAACUAGCGUUUAGUAGGAGAGACAGGAUGGUGGAGGAGGGGAAGGAGGGGGAAGAGGAGGAGGAGGAGGAGAGGAACUGUUUCAUGGAAGGAGCAUCAAGACACCUCUGGAACUAAAUUAACCAACACAUUUAUAACAUUUCUAUUCUCCUCCCAGUUUUUCCUGCUUAACAUGCAGGAAUGUAGCAAUUGCAGUUGUUGUUGUUGUUCCUGCAGCAGAAAUACUGGUAGUGAAUGUGGAUGUCUAGUAUAAGAAAAGAAGCAAUAAUAGCAACAACAAUAACAACAACAACCAACAACAACGAGGCACUGAAUGCCAACCACAUUAUUAACUAUGUUUAGUUCACUGAGUUUUAUUUGUACUUUUCUUUUUAGUAUUCAUACUUGACUUAUUAUACGAAUGGAAAUACUAAUAAUUAUUAGUAUUUCCAUUCAUCACAUUGUGAGCUGCUUACAGCUGUACUAGAGAUAGUGAUAUCGAGUCUUCUGGAACACUUUCACACAUUAAGAGCAUUAUGUCCAUGCUCUUUCCUGUAAAUAUUUUAAAUCUUGAUUUAUUUUCUAUCUAGUGGGACUUUGUCUUUUUUUUUUCAUUGUAAUCACCAGCAAACGUCCUUCAUUAAUUUGAGUUUACUCGCCUUGUAGUACAGUGUGUUUGUGUGUGUGUGUGUGUGUGUGUGUGUGUGUGUGUGUGUGUGUGUGUGUGUGUGUGUGUGUGUGUGUGUGUGUGUGUGUGUGUGUGUGUGUGUGUGUGUGUACGUGUGUGUGUGUGUGUGUGUGUGUGUGUGUGUGUGUGUGUGUGUGUGUGUGUGUGUGUGUGUACGUG